AUGAGGUCGGGCCGAUGGGGUAGGCCCCGCUCUGCCCGUGUGGGGGUGGUGGGCUGGGGGCGGGCCCCACUCUGGGCGCGGGGGCAUCUUCUGGCGGGCUCCCUACGGACCGUGGGUCCUCGGGCUCUACUCUUUCAGGCCGACCCUCCCGCCGGGGGGAGUGUUUGCCCCUGGUUCUCAUGGGGCGGACAGCGGUGGCCCACUCUGGCCUCGGGUGCUGUCUCUGUGGCUGCUGCAGCUCUGCCUGGGGGGCUCUGUGUGGGCGGACAGCGUUGACCCCCGGUGGCCCACUCUGGCCUCGGGUGCUGUCUCUGUGGCUGCUGCAGCUCUGCCUGGGGGGCUCUGUGUGGGCGGCUUGGGUCGCAACACCUGCCCUCCUGGAACUGAAGGUGUGUGGGCUCCCUGGCUGCUAGGAUUCCUUCCUCUGCUUGCUGGAUGGGCGUAGUGGCGGAGCCCCUCACAUCACCCUGGCUUCCACAAGUGGCAUUGUUCAUGCACCAACGUCUGCCUCACCCUUUGGGUGAAUAAUGAUAAGCUACAGCCUUACUAACCUUGUAGUGGGACACUUUCCAAAUCCAACUGUAAGUAUUAUUGAUACUUAUCACUACCGAUAUGAAUAAUGUGUGAAUAUGGAAUUUGUGGUGUUGUAUGUCAUGACUUUUAUUAAGUAGUAUGGGAUAUGUAUAAUAAUGCACAUAUGUAUGUAUAUUGUAUGUAUAUGUUUGUAUUAGUAUGUGCACAUACCUUAGCACUAUUAUUGGUAUUAGUAUUAAUCUCCAAGGUAAACCACAGUACAAAAAUUGUUUAGUUAUGAAUGUGUUAGCCUAAGGUACAUCCAUGCUUCUUAUUUAUUUAUUUUUUUGCUCCGAUUGUUUACUUAACAGAUUUGCUUGGUUUCAGCAGCUGGUUGCACCCCUUAUCCCCCCCCCCCCCCACCCUCCCGCAUACACACCCUAAAGCAGAAACCUAACCUGUCCACCAACACAGCAACAUCACACACAUUUUGGAUUAGCUAAAUAAACCAUUAAAUAAACCAUAAAUCA
rnacentral:lncRNA from 1 species